ACCAGAUCCAGUAUUAACUAAAACUAUCGAAUCAUCAAACUCAGGGGUUAAGGAGGUGGGAUGGAGUUCAUUUUAUGCUGAUUCUGUUCCUAACAGGAAUCAUGAAUUUGGUUCGUAUUCAGAUUUUUUUAAUGAUUUGGGAGAUACUUCCCAGGAUUUUCCUGGGAAGGUUAAUNNNNAGAAUAGUGAUGGUGACAGAUUGCAUAAUUCAGCCGGUUAUGGGGAAUAUCAAGAUGGAGCUCAAAGUUAUGGUGGAUCUGCUGAAGAGGGUGUAAAUGGGCAGGAUUUGAAUAGCAGUGAGUAUUGGGAGAACAUGUAUCCCGGGUGGAAAUUUGAUGCCAACACUGGGCAGUGGUAUCAAGUGGAUAGUUUUGAUGCAACAGCAGUCCAAGAGAGUUCUAAUGUUAGUGCAGCAAAUGGAUGGGCAUCGGAUGG
rnacentral:misc_RNA from 1 species